rnacentral:rRNA from 1 species
UAGUCCACGCCCUAAACGAUGUCAACUAGACGUUGGGCUCAUCAAGGAGCUUAGUGUCGAAGCUAACGCGUUAAGUUGACCGCCUGGGGAGUACGGCCGCAAGGUUGAAACUCAAAGGAAUUGACGGGGGCCCGCACAAGCGGUGGAGCAUGUGGUUUAAUUCGAUGCAACGCGAAGAACCUUACCAGCCCUUGACAUCCUGGGAAUUUUGUAGAGAUACAUUAGUGCCUUCGGGAAUCCAGUGACAGGUGCUGCAUGGCUGUCGUCGGCUCGUGUCGUGAGAUGUUGGGUUAAGUCCCGCAACGAGCGCAACCCUUGUCCUUAGUUGCCAGCACGUUAUGGUGGGAACUCUAGGGAGACUGCCGGUGAUAAACCGGAGGAAGGUAAGGAUGACGUCAAGUCAGCAUGCCCCUUACGCUCUGGGCUACACACGUGCUACAAUGGUCGUGACAAAGAGUUGCUAGUCUGCGAAGGCAAGCCAAUCUCAUAAACGCGGCCUUAGUUCGGAUU